CCUACGGGAGGCAGCAGUGGGGAAUAUUGGACAAUGGGGGGAACCCUGAUCCAGCGACGCCGCGUGAGUGAAGAAGUAUUUCGGUAUGUAAAGCUCUAUCAGCAGGGAAGAAAGAAAUGACGGUACCUGACUAAGAAGCCCCGGCUAACUACGUGCCAGCAGCCGCGGUAAUACGUAGGGGGCAAGCGUUAUCCGGAUUUACUGGGUGUAAAGGGAGCGUAGACGGCGAUGCAAGUCUGAAGUGAAAGGCGGGGGCGCAACCCCCGGACUGCUUUGGAAACUGUAUGGCUGGAGUGCAGGAGAGGUAAGUGGAAUUCCUAGUGUAGCGGUGAAAUGCGUAGAUAUUAGGAGGAACACCAGUGGCGAAGGCGGCUUACUGGACUGUAACUGACGUUGAGGCUCGAAAGCGUGGGGAGCAAACAGGAUUAGAUACCCCGGUAGUC
rnacentral:rRNA from 1 species